CAAUAAGAGAAUGAGGUGUAAAGGUGUUUCUCGUUCAGUAGAUGUACAGCUUAAUUAUUAUUGAGUGAGUGCUCAGAGAAGGUGAAAAGCCUGUGUGGUUGUGUCUAUCUGCUGAACAGUUUCACUUACGAGUCUAGUUGUUUGAGAGUACAACUUAAAGUUGGUGGUAAAUUUCAUCAAAGGCUAAAUAUAUGAGGGGACUAAUAGCGAACAAGUACCAUGAGGGAAAGUUGAAAAGAACUCUGACGAGAGAGUUACACAGUACGUGAAACCAUACUGAGUAAAACAGAUAACUGUGUUGUUACGUGGUGUGCCUAUCAACAGCGCUGACGGUGAUGUGAGGGCGCGAGAGCAAGCUGUUCUUCAGUUGAUAGCUCGCGUCCAGCAGAGCCGGGACUGUGUAUUAGUGCAUACUCGAUCAUUGAGAAACGAUGCUGCUGCGACAUCGGUAUUUAUCCGUCCGUACCUAGUGCGAGGUUAUAUGCUGGGCGUUACAGCUAGCGGCGUCGUUUAGCUACUUUGUGAGAGCUGUGGAGUGCGUUUGUUGAACGUACCUGCUUUGUCUGCGAAUUAGUUUAUUCUUUUUCGCGGUGAGUAUGGUGCGGUAGGCAAGUGCUCCGCCAUCAAUGGUUUUUAACAUUAGUUAUUUGACCCGUCUUGAAACACGGACCAAGGAGUUCAAAUGGCACGCGAGUCAUUGGGUUUAAACACCCGAAGGCGAAGUGAAAUGCAAAUUUAUCGUCACUCGUGCAAUGUACGAUUCAGCGAUAAGCUACUCAUGCUUUCUGGCAUUUGUAGACUAAAAGCGUGAUGUUUGAGACCCGAAAGAUGGUGACCUAUGCCUAGUCAAGAUGAAGCCAGAGGAAACUCUGGUGGAUGUCUGAAGUUAUUCUGACGUGCAAAUCGAUAAUCUGAUCUGGGUAUAGGGGCGAAAGACUAAUCGAACCAUCUAGUAGCUGGUUCCUUCCGAAGUUUCCCUCAGGAUAGCAAGCGUACAUUUUUUAGUUUCAUCCCGUAAAGCGAAUGAUUAGAGGCAUUGGGGCAUAUAUAGCCUCAACCUAUUCUCAAACUUUUAAUGGGUGUGAGCGUUCUUUCUUGAUUGAAGAACGCUGCUAAAUAAGUAUGCUUAGUGGGCCAUUUUUGGUAAGCAGAACUGGCGCUGUGGGUUGAACCAAAUGUUAAGUUAAAGUGCCUAAAGCUGGAAUGCGCAUGAGAUCUAUAAAGGGUGUUAGUUGCUGAAGACAGCAGG
rnacentral:rRNA from 1 species